CUACGGGAGGCAGCAGUGGGGAAUAUUGGACAAUGGGGGAAACCCUGAUCCAGCAAUGCCGCGUGUGUGAAGAAGGCCUGCGGGUUGUAAAGCACUUUCGGUUGGGAGGACUGCUUCUAGCACUAAUAUUGUUGGAAGUUGACGUUACCUUCAGAAGAAGCACCGGCUAACUCCGUGGCCAGCAGCCGCGGUAAUACGGAGGGUGCAAGCGUUAAUCGGAAUUACUGGGCGUAAAGCGCGCGUAGGCGGCUAGAUCAGUCGGGUGUGAAAGCCCCGGGCUUAACCUGGGAACUGCAUCCGAUACUGUCUAGCUUGAGUACAGGAGAGGAGAGUGGAAUUCCACAUGUAGCGGUGAAAUGCGUAGAUAUGUGGAGGAACACCAAUGGCGAAGGCAGCUCUCUGGCCUGAUACUGACGCUGAGGUGCGAAAGCGUGGGAGCAAACAGGAUUAGAUACCCCCGUAGUC
rnacentral:rRNA from 1 species